ACGUCGAAAGCUUGCUUUUGAUGGGCGUCGACCGGCGCACGGGUGAGUAACGCGUAUCCAACCUGCCCACCACUUGGGAAUAACCUUGCGAAAGUAAGACUAAUACCCAAUGACGUCUCUAGAAGACAUCUGAAAGAGAUUAAAGAUUUAUCGGUGAUGGAUGGGGAUGCGUCUGAUUAGCUAGUUGGUGAGGUAACGGCUCACCAAGGCGACGAUGCGUAGCCGACCUGAGAGGUUGAACGGCCACAUUGGGACUGAGACACGGCCCAAACUCC
rnacentral:rRNA from 1 species